rnacentral:rRNA from 1 species
UACAGAGGUCUCAAGCGUUGUUCGGAUUCAUUGGGCGUAAAGGGUGCGUAGGUGGCGCCGUAAGUCGGGUGUGAAAUUUCGAGGCUUAACCUCGAAACUGCAUUCGAUACUGCGGUGCUUGAGGACUGGAGAGGAGACUGGAACUCAUGGUGUAGCAGUGAAAUGCGUAGAGAUCAUGAGGAAGACCAGUGGCGAAGGCGGGUCUCUGGACAGUUCCUGACACUGAGGCACGAAGGCCAGGGGAGCAAACGGG